ACCUAAUGCCUGGUGGCACAGACACGUCUGGAGUUACGAUGGAAUGGGCAAUUCAUGAACUACUUAUACACCCUCGCGUCCUAGCAAAGUUAAGGGAAGAGAUUGACAGAGUAACUGGUGGAGAAAGAUGGGUGCAAGAAGAUGAUUACCCUGAAAUGCCUUACUUAGAGGCUAUUAUUAAGGAGACAUUGAGGUUACAUCCACUCUCACCAUUAUUGGCACCACAUUUUGCACUUGUGGAUUGCAAUGUAGCAGGUUAUGAUAUAGCUAAAGAAACAGUUGUUCUAAUAAAUACAUGGAGCAUAGGAAGGCAUCCUGACCACUGGGAUGAUCCUUAUGAAUUCAAGCCAGAAAGAUUUUUGCAGGGCAAGGAAAUCGGUAUGACAGGACAGGAUUUCAGCUUGUUGCCAUUUGGCUCAGGCAGAAGAAAAUGCCCUGGGUACAGCCUCGGACUUAGGCUUGUUCGAACAACAGUUGCCAAUGUGUUCCAUGGUUUCAACUGGAAAUUUCCUGAGGGUACAAAAGCUGAAGAUAUAUGCAUGGUCGAGCGCUAUGGUCUGACUACGUGUCCUGAAGUCCCCGCUACCGUUAUCCCAGAGCCUCGACUUCCAAUCCAUCUCUAUAAGUGAUCAUGUUUCCUUUGUUUCUAUCCUAUUAUAUUGCUAUUGAUAUGUUUGUUCAUUACUUUUUCCCUUGGGUUAGAAGUAUCUAUUGUCAUGAACUAUCUGUACUAAUAAUGGAGGAGGGUACAAAACCUGAAGAUAUAUGCAUGGUCGAGCGCUAGUCUGAAUAUAUGUCCUGAAGUACCCACUACUCUUAUCCUAGAGCCUCCACUUCCAAUCCAUCUUUAUAAGUUGAUAUGUUUGUCCUGAAUAUAUAUAUUUUUUUUCUCUUGGUUAAUUUAGAAGUAUCUAUUGUCAUGAACUAUUUGUACUAA
rnacentral:lncRNA from 1 species